AGAAAGAAUGUUAAUGACACGAACGGGGAAGUUUGGAAAAGGGUAGAGAAAGGACAAUGAUUCCACUUUUGAAUAGAUUUUGAAGUGCUAAAGAGUGGUUAUUUCUAGCAGGCACUUGGGAAUUCAAAGCUGAAUGUAUAGAUUUGGAACUCAUUUGCAUCAAGGUGAUAAUUGAACCUGUGGUGAUAGUUACUUUAGGUGAGAAUUACAGAAUUUAAGUAAUGGAAGAAAUUUCUCUUUGAAAUUUAGUUUAACUCUGUUCUUCAUGAAUGAAUCCUCUCUAAAACAUCUCUAACAAGUAGUUCAUCAGCCUUCAUUUGAUCUCCAGUCACAGGACACUUACUAGUUCUCAAGGUUCUUUCCUCUCCCUUUUCCUCUCCAUAUCUAUUCAGUUGAUUCCAUUUUCACACCUCAUAUUUGUCCCUUUAAUUUCAUUUAUUUGUCCAUCUCAAGCUUUCUUAUUUAUUAUCCCAUCCCUUCAUGUACAAAUUAUUCUAACUUUCUUUCUCUAGCAUCUUCCCACUCCUCUGCACAGCUGUCUUCCUAAGGAAUAGAUCUGAACACAUCAUCAUUGGAAGACCACCAGAAUGCCUCUUCUCAGCUGGGCUCUGACCUCUUUCCAUCACCGCUACAUGGACUUUCACCAUAUCGAGGAUGUGGUGCCAGGUACUGAGGUUUUAGCACUGUGCCUCUGUGCCAAUCUCAUCUUGGAAAGUCCCUCAAGUGCUUGGGAUCUUCUCAUCUUGUGGCAUCCAUCAUCUGCCAUGGAAACUUCCUUAUCCCAUUGGUGAGUUUGUUCCAGAGCUUCCAUUUUGGAGAGAGGCUCAAGUUGUCCAAAUUCAUUCCCUUCCUGGCUUUACUUCCGACUUUCCCAACUUCACCAUGCCCUUACACUGGAUACCUUCAUCCUUUUCUCCAUCCCUGCCCCCAAUUACCCAGCUUCCUUUUGGAUAUUGCCUUCUACCCAUUAGAAUGCGAGUUUCUUGAGGACAGGGACUGUCUUUUCCCCUUUAUUGGAUUCCUGACACUCAGCACAGUAUCUGACAUAGUUGCCUUGCCUUGCAACCCACAUUGGAACAUGAAAACUCAGCAACAUUCUGACAAUUGUUUUGGUACCUGUUUGUAUAUCUCAAGUGGUGGGCUCUUGAGCCCAUUCUAUUAAAAAAAAUCCCUACCUUCUGUCUUCCAAUCUCUCAGAUAGUUAAGGACAGUGAUCAUGUCCCCAUCAUCUUCCCUUCUCCAAGCUAGUUUUGGUGAAACACUUCUGCCAAGCUUCAUUUUGUACAGUUGCAAGUCUUCUCAUUUUUGAGCAGUAGUGAGAC
rnacentral:lncRNA from 1 species